rnacentral:lncRNA from 1 species
AGGCCAUUUCUUAAUACUGAUCCUAUUGCCUUGACUCCUACUGCCCUACCACCAAGACUGGCAACAGCAGCAGAUUCAAUAGCAGCAGAGUCGUGAAAAGAGCUAAAAUCAGCCUUUCUCUACAUACGAAACCACAAAGUCAAUUUGCUUAUGAAACAAGAGCAGCUCCCUCUGUAACAGCUUCUUCUGUAACAGCCUUUCAACCUCCCUUCGGGAAGUAAUUUGCCUUUGCGUUGAGCCAGUUCUGGUCAUGGCCCCUUACUCUUU